GGCUCGGUGGGUGGAGGAGAAACUGCAUCCCCUUUGGGUCGUUGCCUGACUGAAGGGACCAUGUGCAUGAUAUGUUUGGGAGAUAGUAGAGGAAUAAAGUGAUAAUUUUGGGGGGAAGCUGUCAGUAGAUUGGAAGCCUGCAUAGUACAGCUGAAAAGUUUUAGGUUUGCUGGGUAGGCAAUAGGGAACUUUUGGUAGUGUCUUAAAUGGGG
rnacentral:lncRNA from 1 species